UUAGUUAAAACCAAAAAGAGGUAUAUCACUGUUAAUGAUAUUAUUGAAUAAAAUUCUAACUAAA
rnacentral:tRNA from 3 species